GAAUUGACGAUUUUACCCUUAAAAAUUAUCACUUGUAUACCCUUAAAUUCUCUUUUUAUCACUUGUAUACCCUUAAAUUAUCAUUUGUAUCAUAUAAAAAGACCAAAUUACCCUUCUGACGUCAUCAUACUUAAACGGCAACUAACGGUUUGGUGGUCAGCUGAUACAUUUUGUCAACUUAGGGUGGACGAUUGAUACACCCUCAAAGUGUUGUAGUAUUUUUGAUAAUGGAGUAAACUAAGGGUAUACAAAUGAUAAUUUCCCU
rnacentral:lncRNA from 1 species